GAUGAACGCUGGCGGCGUGCCUAAUACAUGCAAGUCGAGCGAACAGACGAGGAGCUUGCUCCUCUGACGUUAGCGGCGGACGGGUGAGUAACACGUGGAUAACCUACCUAUAAGUCUGGGAUAACUUCGGGAAACCGGAGCUAAUACCGGAUAAUAUAUUGAACCGCAUGGUUCAAUAGUGAAAGACGGUUUUGCUGUCACUUAUAGAUGGAUCCGCGCCGCAUUAGCUAGUUGGUAAGGUAACGGCUUACCAAGGCUACGAUGCGUAGCCGACCUGAGAGGGUGAUCGGCCACACUGGAACUGAGACACGGUCCAGACUCCUACGGGAGGCAGCAGUAGGGAAUCUUCCGCAAUGGGCGAAAGCCUGACGGAGCAACGCCGCGUGAGUGAUGAAGGUCUUCGGAUCGUAAAACUCUGUUAUUAGGGAAGAACAAAUGUGUAAGUAACUAUGCACGUCUUGACGGUACCUAAUCAGAAAGCCACGGCUAACUACGUG
rnacentral:rRNA from 1 species